CUGCGUUCUCAGGGCGGGGUGAAACUCCCCACCGGCGGUAAUGCCCUCCAGACCUUGGCGUAGCCUCGGCGACGGAGGGACGAGCCCGCGGGCGCCUGGGCCUUCGUCAUAGGAAGGUCCCAGGGACGAGCAGACCCGGUGCGAUCCCGGGGCCGACGGUCAUAGUCCGGUUAUGAGAACGGCC
rnacentral:ncRNA from 2 species